rnacentral:rRNA from 1 species
GACGAACGCUGGCGGCGUGCUUAACACAUGCAAGUCGAACGGAAAGGCUCCAGCUUGCUGGAGUACUCGAGUGGCGAACGGGUGAGUAACACGUGGGUAAUCUGCCCUGCACUCUGGGAUAAGCCUGGGAAACUGGGUCUAAUACUGGAUAUGACCUUUCUCCUUAUGGGGUUUGGUGGAAAGUUUUUCGGUGUAGGAUGAGCCCGCGGCCUAUCAGCUUGUUGGUGGGGUGAUGGCCUACCAAGGCGACGACGGGUAGCCGGCCUGGGAGGGGGAUCGGCCACAUUGGGACUGAGAUACGGCCCAGACUCCUACGGGAGGCAGCAGUGGGGAAUAUUGCACAAUGGGCGGAAGCCUGAUGCAGCGACGCCGCGUGAGGGAUGACGGCCUUCGGGUUGUAAACCUCUUUCAGCAGGGACGAAGCGUAAGUGACGUUACCUGCAGAAGAAGCACCGGCUAACUAUGUG